rnacentral:rRNA from 1 species
ACGAACGCUGGCGGCGUGCUUAACACAUGCCAGUCGAACGGAAAGGCCCUGCUUUUGUGGGGUGCUCGAGUGGCGAACGGGUGAGUAACACGUGAGUAACCUGCCCUUGACUUUGGGAUAACUUCAGGAAACUGGGGCUAAUACCGGAUAGGAGCUCCUGCUGCAUGGUGGGGGUUGGAAAGUUUCGGCGGUUGGGGAUGGACUCGCGGCUUAUCAGCUUGUUGGUGGGGUAGUGGCUUACCAAGGCUUUGACGGGUAGCCGGCCUGAGAGGGUGACCGGCCACAUUGGGACUGAGAUACGGCCCAGACUCCUACGGGAGGCAGCAGUGGGGAAUAUUGCACAAGGGGCGGAAGCCUGAUGCAGCAACGCCGCGUGCGGGAUGACGGCCUUCGGGUGGGAAACCGCUUUCGCCUGUGACGAAGCGUGAGUGACGGUAAUGGGUAAAGAAGCACCGGCUAACUACGU